AGUGAACGCUGGCGGUGGGCCUAACACAUGCAAGUCGAACGGCAGCACAGUAAGAGCUUGCUCUUACGGGUGGCGAGUGGCGGACGGGUGAGGAAUACAUCGGAAUCUACUUUUUCGUGGGGGAUAACGUAGGGAAACUUACGCUAAUACCGCAUACGGCCUACGGGUGAAAGCAGGGGAUCUUCGGACCUUGCGCGAUUGAAUGAGCCGAUGUCGGAUUAGCUAGUUGGCGGGGUAAAGGCCCACCAAGGCGACGAUCCGUAGCUGGUCUGAGAGGAUGAUCAGCCACACUGGAACUGAGACACGGUCCAGACUCCUACGGGAGGCAGCAGUGGGGAAUAUUGGACAAUGGGCGCAAGCCUGAUCCAGCCAUACCGCGUGGGUGAAGAAGGCCUUCGGGUUGUAAAGCCCUUUUGUUGGGAAAGAAAAGCAGCAGGUUAAUACCCCGCUGUUCUGACGGUACCCAAAGAAUAAGCACCGGCUAACUUCGUG
rnacentral:rRNA from 1 species